UGGGGAAUCUUGCACAAUGGGGGAAACCCUGAUGCAGCGACGCCGCGUGAGCGAUGAAGCCCUUCGGGGUGUAAAGCUCUUUCGGCAGGGAAGAUUAUGACGGUACCUGCAGAAGCAGCUGCGGCUAACUACGCGCCAGCAGCCGCGGUAAUACGUAGGCAGCAAGCGUUGUUCGGAGUUACUGGGCGUAAAGGGUGCGUAGGCGGCUCGAUAAGUAUGGUGUGAAAUCUCCCGGCUUAACUGGGAGGGUGCGCUAUAGACUGCCGGGCUGGAGUGUGGGAGAGGAAAGUGGAAUUCCUGGUGUAGCGGUGAAAUGCGUAGAUAUCAGGAGGAACACCGGUGGUGUAAACGACUUUCUGGACCAUAACUGACGCUGAGGCACGAAAGCGUGGGUAGCAAACAGGAUUAGAUACCCUGGUAGUCCACGCCCUAAACGAUGCAUAUUUGGUGUGGGUCAUUCAGUUGAUCCGUGCCGGAGCUAACGCGUUAAAU
rnacentral:rRNA from 1 species